CGCUAUCACUCCUACGGGAGGCAGCAGUGGGGAAUCUUGGACAAUGGGGGGCAAACCCUGAUCCAGCCAUGCCGCGUGAGUGAUGAAGGCCUUAGGGUCGUAAAGCUCUUUCGCCUGUGAAGAUAAUGACGGUAGCAGGUAAAGAAACCCCGGCUAACUCCGUGCCAGCAGCCGCGGUAAUACGGAGGGGGUUAGCGUUGUUCGGAAUUACUGGGCGUAAAGCGCACGUAGGCGGAUCGGAAAGUUGGGGGUGAAAUCCCGGGGCUCAACCCCGGAACUGCCUCCAAAACUAAUCGGUCUAGAGUUCGAGAGAGGUGAGUGGAAUUCCGAGUGUAGAGGUGAAAUUCGUAGAUAUUCGGAGGAACACCAGUGGCGAAGGCGGCUCACUGGCUCGAUACUGACGCUGAGGUGCGAAAGUGUGGGGAGCAAACAGGAUUAGAUACCCUGGUAG
rnacentral:rRNA from 1 species